rnacentral:rRNA from 1 species
AACGUACGCUGGCGGCACGCCUAACACAUGCAAGUCGAACACAGUAGCAAUACUGAGUGGCAAACGGGUGAGUAUAAUGUGGGAAUCUGCCUUUUGGUUUGGAAUAACGCGAGGAAACUUGUGCUAAUACCGAAUAAGCCUUCACAGGGAAAGUUUUAACGCCGAAAGAUGAGCCCGCACUUGAUUAGCUAGUUGGUAAGGUAAAAGCUUACCAAGGCAAUGAUCAAUAGCUGUUCUUAGAGGAAGACCAGCCACAUUGGGACUGAGACACGGCCCAGACUCCUACGGGAGGCAGCAGUGGGGAAUCUUGCACAAUGGGGGAAACCCUGAUGCAGCGAUGCCGCGUGAGUGAAGAAGGCCUUUGGGUUGUAAAACUCUUUCGUCGGGGAAGAAAAUGACUGUACCCGAAUAAGAAGGUCCGGCUAACUUCGUGCCAGCAGCCGCGGUAAUACGAAGGGACCUAGCGUAGUUCGGAAUUACUGGGCUUAAAGAGCUCGUAGGUGGUUAAAAAAGUUGAUGGUGAAAUCCCAAGGCUUAACCUUGGAACUGCCAUCAAAACUUUUUAGCUAGAGUGUGAUAGAGGUAAGUGGAAUUUCUAGUGUAGAGGUGAAAUUCGUAGAUAUUAGAAAGAACACCAAAUGCGAAGGCAACUUACUGGGUCACUACUGACACUGAGGAGCGAAAGCAUGGGUAGCGAAGAGGAUUAGAUACCCUCGUAGUCCAUGCCGUAAACGAUGUGUGCUAGACGUUGGAAAUAUAUUUUUCAGUGUCGCAGCGAAAGCAUUAAGCACACCGCCCUGGGGAGUACGACCGCAAGGUUAAAACUCAAAUGAAUUGACGGGGACCCGCACAAGCAGUGGAGCAUGUGGUUUAAUUCGAAGAUACGCGCAGAACCUUACCAACACUUGACAUGUUCGUCGCGAGCCUAAGAGAUUAGGCUUUUCAGUUCGGCUGGACGAA